GAUAAGAUAUGCAAGAACAUGCUCUACAUAUGAAUGAGUUAUUUACGAACAAGUUGAUGAAACAAGAAUAUUAGGAGUAUCUUUUGAAGUCAUCAUUUCUUAAAUUCUUUGGUCGAUACAAUGGCCUUUAUAUACGGUACAAUGUUUCAUUAAAUCAAAUGCAUACUGACGUGUUUCAUACUAACCAUUAGACCAUUAUAUACAUGUACAAACUUAUUUUUUACGGAUAUUUCUGUUAUUUUCCGAUCAUGUCAAAAAGUGCACGAUGGGUGUGACCUGUCGGCAGAUGUCCCAUCUCCAGUGUUUGGAAGUUUGUGAUUGCAAUGCUCCUAUAUUGUAUUGUUUAAUGGACGUAAAGCUUGCAUACUGUUCGUGAAUCGUUAUCUCCGUAUAUUUCAUGUUUCCAAAGUUUGCAAUUACAAAAAAAACAUACAGUUUCUAGAUGUUGCACAAUUUAAACAAUAUCAUUUUCAGUGUGCUUGCCAUUCUUUUUUCAACUUGUCUUUCUGGACAUAUCAAAGCUUAUUAUGUUAAUAUAGUUGAAAAUGAACACUGAACACUUUAUCAGAAUGAAUUGUGUAUUAAUUAUACCUUUAUAGCUGAUUGAUAAUACAGAUUUUAAUCUUUUUUGGCAAAAUGAAAAUUUUAUGAUUUGUUUUUUUAUGGCGUCGGGCUUGCCCGAUCGUCAUCUAGCGAUCAGUCAGGUUUACGCGACCGCACGUGUCAGUGGAUGCAUCCGCAAUAGAAAAUAGCAACAGCUGUAAACCAAUUUCUUUUAAAACGUUCACAAUGAAUAAUAGCUUGAAUAUAAAAUUAAAUCAAUUGUAUCUUCAAUUAAUACUACUACAAAACAACGAUAUUAUGUUUAAUUUUUACGCAAGAAAAACGUUAUGGUUGUUGCGGAUGAAUUUCUACUGAGAGGGUGCGUUGAAUGACAUGAAUCACAUUUUGGGACCGAUAACUGUAAUACAAGCAAUCUUAAUUAAAUACGGUAAAAUACUUACAAAAUAAACACGAAUACAACAAGACUAUAAAGAUUGAAUUUCUUAAUCUUAGCUUUACUUUUACGAUCUUCAGUCCAGUUUUAGCCGAACAACCUACGAUAUUGACCAGUAAUGCCAGUAUUACUGUAUUUAUCCAUUUCCUCCAUUUGUUUACCGCGCCUUAUCGUAAGUCGAUCGUACUUGUAACAUUAGAGUCAUGGUUGUAGUUAAGAUGCAAUCACUAUACAACAGAACAACACUCUGCCAAUGGCAAUUAAUUAAAAUGAUUUAUGAAACCCUUCAUAUGUCUUCGAUUGACUGAAAAGAAAUUAGAUUGAUAUAGAGGAUGGACAUUUCUGACGAUGUCUGGUCAAUUCGAACCCUGACUCAUUCGGAGCAGGACACAAGGCUAUCAGGCCCUAUACUGUAUUUGUGUUAAGACUAUUUUUUUUUAAAUUUUAUUAUUAUGUUACUGGAGUCACUCACUUGACCUAUUUGCAGAUCUUUUGAAAUUGUUUUUCUUGUUCGACGCCAUUGAAGCCUUUCAGGCUUUUGAUUUUUUCAUUUUGUU